rnacentral:sRNA from 1 species
UAGAUCGUCUCGCUGAGUCUCCGUAUGGAGAACGGGGGAACCAAUACCGCCCUGACGAAUGAUUCUGUACAUGGCGUACACGUCGAUGUCGCCGUCUAGGCCGUAUUUGAUUUCUUCACGUGGUCUUUGGGGUGAAUGUGGAGGCAGCCGCCAUGAGCGGUUGACCGAAGCUAGGGCGUCUCUCUUUCGUCCGAACCCGACAGCUAACCCCGUAAGCGCAAGUAAGAGAGGCA